CGUCUGCUUUCGGUUUGUUGUUAUACAAGUUUCGAAAAAGACGAAGUUCGAUAAGAGUUCAAAGAAAAUGGGUGCACGAAAAACAGCCGAGCAAGUAAAAUUACAAAAAUGUGGUCGGUGUGUCAACUCUGGUCGGGUCUUUUUAUGCACUUGCCCAAUAACACAUAGGACUCCAUGCUGUUUUUAGAUUUUAGGCCUGGGCCAGUCACUACAACAGCAAGAUAUGUAAGUUUGGCUUGUGCUGGUAUUGUCCUGUCAUCAGCAACAAUCUAGCUACAUCAUUUGGAUAAACAGCAUCCAGUUUGAUUGGGAAAACUCUGCCCUUGUGUGUACACCUAUGUGAGUGUGGGACUCCCUUUUCCCGUCAUUCAAAUUUUCUCCGGAUGGAGCACUUGUGACCUGGCUGUUUUUCCCAGGCUUAAAGGUAGGACAACUA